CAAACUAACAUGGAUAUGGUCCUCUGAAAGUGGGUUAUGAAUUAGCUUGUUCUUCUGAUGUAGGAGCCUUUCACAGAGGAGAUUUCAGCAGAGCUCCGGGGCAGAGGAGAUCUAUUCCGCUCUAUUCAGGAGCUGUUUUUCUGGAGGAUCCAACUCUGGCCACCUUGCCAGAGCUCUGAUUCCUUUAAGGGGAUGACUGUGGACUUCACAGAUGAGGAGUGGAGGCUGCUAGAUUCUGGCCAGAAGGCCUUGUGCAGAGAAGUCAUGCAGGAGGUUUCUAUCAAUAUGGCUGCUUUGGAUGAUGUGUGUGUGAAUGAGAACGACAACGAGGCAAGGUUAAAUGUACUCAAAAUAAAGAAGAAUAAAAUAAAAGUAAUGCAAAGGAGAAAACAGCCAGAAAAUGGAGGGGAGAAAUCAUCCACUUCUCUUGGUAUUCGUGUCUUCCUAUCCCAGCAAGAUCAGAAAGAA